rnacentral:lncRNA from 1 species
CUGGAUUUUACACAGAAAAGGUACAAACACUUCUAUACUGAUUGGUAUAAUCGAACAGAAAUACUAGAGAAAGCAAUACACUUGGACUGUAACAUGGAAACACCCGAUCAUUGAAUAAAACAAACGACCAGCAACCAAAACACUAUUUUCAAAAAAAUGACCAAAACACACGACACUUGGUCCCAACAUCCAACACAUUAA